GACAGAGGGUGCAAACGUUGUUCGGAAUUACUGGGCGUAAAGCGCGUGUAGGCGGCCCUGCAAGUCGGGUGUGAAAUCCCACGGCUCAACCGUGGAAGUGCACUCGAAACUGCAGGGCUAGAGUCCUGGAGAGGAAGGUGGAAUGCUUGGUGUAGCGGUGAAAUGCGUAGAUAUCUGAAGGAACAUCAGUGGCGAAAGCGACUUCCUGGACCAAUACUGACGCUCAUGUGCGAAAGCGUGGGGAGCAAACAGG
rnacentral:rRNA from 1 species